AUACAUAGGGGGCAAGCGUUAUCCGGAAUUAUUGGGCGUAAAGCGUGCGUAGGCGGUUUAUUAAGUCUGAUGUUAAAUCCCACAGCUUAACUGGGGGCGGCCGUUGGAAACUGGUAGACUUGAGGGCGGUAGAGGGAGGUGGAAUUCCAAGUGGAGCGGUGGAAUGCGUAGAUAUUGGGAGGAACACCAGUGGCGAAGGCGGCUUACUGGGCCGUUACUGACGCUGAGGCACGAAAGCGUGGGGAGCAAACAGGAUUAGAUCCCCUGGUAGUCCACGCCGUAAACGAUGAGCACUAAGUGUCGGAUGAAUGUUCGGCGCUGCAGUUAACACAAUAAGUGCUCCGCCUGGGGAGUACGGUCGCAAGACUGAAACUUAAAGGAAUUGACGGGG
rnacentral:rRNA from 1 species